UACAGAGGUCCCAAGCGUUGUUCGGAUUCAUUGGGCGUAAAGGGCGCGUAGGCGGCGCGGUAAGUCGGGUGUGAAAUCUCGGGGCUUAACUCCGAAACUGCAUUCGAUACUGCCGUGCUUGAGGACUGGAGAGGAGACUGGAAUUUACGGUGUAGCGGUGAAAUGCGUAGAUAUCGUAAGGAAGACCAGUGGCGAAGGCGGGUCUCUGGACAGUUCCUGACGCUGAGGCACGAAGGUCAGGGGAGCAAACGGG
rnacentral:rRNA from 1 species